GCAGAACACAGGGAAGGGUUCAGAAGCACAGCCCCCAAGGAACAGCAACAGUGAAGAGUCAGAGGGCUCAAAAAGAGGGUAGGUGCUGUUAGGAAGGAGCAGAGUCCCUUCUUUGGCCAUUCAGGAGUGGAGAAGGACUUUAAUGGUUUGGGGGAUGGUUAAGGGAAGUGAGAUGGGUUCAUUGAUCUUUCUCUGUUUAGUUUGGCAGUCAUAUGUGAGGGCCAUCCACGUUUGCCCUCUCUGCAGCUGAUGGGUGAUACGAUGAAGUUGAGACGCAAGGUCUUUGAGUAGUCGAAUCCCACCAUUGUGAGUUUUUUUCAUUGGCUGAUGGUCUCUGUAAUUCCAGUCUCCAUUGCUGCAUGUUAGGUAAUCUGCGAACAUCUGGAUCCCUGUGGCUCAUCUUUCUGUUGUCCUGGGUAUCGCCACUACUGCAUUCCUACAAUGGGAGUGGUGAAGAGGAGAGGU